UACGGAGGAUCCAAGCGUUAUCCGGAUUUAUUGGGUUUAAAGGGUGCGUAGGCGGCCUAUUAAGUCAGGGGUGAAAGACGGUAGCUUAACUAUCGCAGUGCCUUUGAUACUGAUGGGCUUGAAUGGACUAGAGGUAGGCGGAAUGUGACAAGUAGCGGUGAAAUGCAUAGAUAUGUCACAGAACACCAAUUGCGAAGGCAGCUUACUAUGGUUUAAUUGGCGCUGAGGCACGAAAGCGUGGGGAUCAAACAGG
rnacentral:rRNA from 1 species